GAUUGCCUUAGUAACGGCGAGUGAAGCGGCAACAGCUCAAAUUUGAAAGCUGGCCCUUUUAGGGUCCGCAUUGUAAUUUGUAGAGGAUGAUUCGGCGAGGGCUCCUGCCUAAGUCCCCUGGAACGGGGCGUCAUAGAGGGUGAGAAUCCCGUAUGCGGUAGGUUGCCUUAGCCAUGUGAAUCUCCUUCGACGAGUCGAGUUGUUUGGGAAUGCAGCUCUAAAUGGGAGGUAAAUUUCUUCUAAAGCUAAAUACCGGCCAGAGACCGAUAGCGCACAAGUAGAGUGAUCGAAAGAUGAAAAGCACUUUGGAAAGAGAGUUAAAAAGUACGUGAAAUUGUUGAAAGGGAAGCGCUUGCAACCAGACUUGUCCGCAGUUGCUCAGCCGGUCUCCUGACCGGCGUACUCUUCUGCGGCCAGGCCAGCAUCAGUUCGGGCGGUCGGAUAAAGGCCUCGGGAAUGUGGCUCCUCUCGGGGAGUGUUAUAGCCCGGGGUGCAAUGCGGCCAGCCUGGACUGAGGAACUCGCUUCGGCAAGGAUGCUGGCGUAAUGGUUGUAAGCGGCCCGUCUUGAAACACGGACCAAGGAGUCUAACAUCUAUGCGAGUGUUCGGGUGUCAAACCCGUACGCGUAAUGAAAGUGAACGGAGGUGGGAACCCGCAAGGGUGCACCAUCGGCCGAUCCUGAUGUCUUCGGAUGGAUUUGAGCAAGAGCAUAGCUGUUGGGACCCGAAAGAUGGUGAACUAUGCCUGAAUAGGGUGAAGCCAGAGGAAACUCUGGUGGAGGCUCGCAGCGGUUCUGACGUGCAAUCGAUCGUCAAAUUUGGGUA
rnacentral:rRNA from 1 species